rnacentral:rRNA from 1 species
GACGAGGGAUCCUAGCGUUGUUCGGAAUCAUUGGGCGUAAAGCGGGUGUAGGUGGCUUUUUAAGUCAGGUGUGAAAUCCUAGGGCUUAACCCUAGAAGUGCAUUUGAUACUAUUAAGCUUGAGUGUGGAAGAGGCUAUUAGAAUUCCUGGUGUAGUGGUGAAAUACGUAGAUAUCAGGAGGAAUACCGGUUGCGAAGGCGGAUAGCUGGUCCAACACUGACACUAAGACCCGAAAGCGUGGGGAUCAAACAGG